rnacentral:rRNA from 1 species
GAAUAUUGGGCAAUGUCCGAAAGGGUGACCCAGCAACGCCGCGUGGAGGAUGAAUGUCGUAAGAUUGUAAACUCCUGUUAGAGGGGAAGAAUAAUCCCGAUCAAAUCGGGAAUUGACUGUACCCUCAGAGAAAGCCCCGGCUAACUACGUGCCAGCCGCCGCGGUAAUACGUAGGGGGCAAGCGUUGUCCGGAUUUACUGGGUGUAAAGGGCGCGUAGGCGGGUUAGCAAGUCAGAGGUGAAAUCCUACAGCUUAACUGUAGAACUGCCUUUGAUACUGCUGAUCUUGAGUGCGGAAGAGAGAGACGGAAUUCCAGGUGUAGUGGUGAAAUACGUAGAUAUCUGGAAGAACACCAGUUGCGAAGGCGGUCUCUUGGUCCGUAACUGACGCUCAGGCGCGAAAGCGUGGGGAGCAAACGGG